AGCUUAGCCUGGAUUUUGGUUUCUGCUGUAAACUUCAGCCUUAGCCAUCAUCUAAAUAAUUCAACAAUAUUGCUGGCAACUCAGUUACAGUGAGAAGUUCUUGAUCAGGUGCAGGAGAAGAGCACAGAUGCCAAUCAGAGGCUGUGAGGACACCCACCUCUGCCCCUUGGUUUGAAAAGAAGCUGUACUGGAUCUCAAUGAAGGCCCCACAUUCAGAUUGGCAGCAGGUUCAGAUUGGAUUUCCUCUCUACAGCUGCUCCACACUCCACUUGCAUCAUGUCCAAACAUCUGGCUUUAAUCUAUUAGAGAGCACCAUAGCAAACCACCUCUGGCACCUCAUCUUCAAUCAAAAGACGAAUGACUAUUCUCCAGAGUACCAAGCUCCACAUUGUUAACAUUCUGUCCCUGCCUAUCUUCACCUCACCUUAUCUUAUUUCUUGUUUAUGUGAAGCAG
rnacentral:lncRNA from 1 species